AAAAAAAAAAAGACAGAAAGAGGCAAAGUCAGUUGGAGUGGGGAAAACAAGAUCCCAAACUUACUCCCAAGUCCUUUCCUUGUCCUCUUCCCCUAGGAUUUGGGAGGAAAGUGCAUGUGAGGAAGCAGUUCAGAUUAUGCAGAAUUCACUUCAAUUUAAAUAUCAGGCCAUGAUGAUAUGACUGCAAGGGUUAGGCCUACCGUUAUAUAUGUUCUCCUUUUUAGCGUUUGUUACAAAUGGGCCAGUUUGUUCAUUUCUUCCUUCAUUUCUUCCUUCCCUCAUUCAUUUAGCUAUCAAGCAUUAAUUGCAUUAUCAUUUUGCUUGGAGCUGAUGGUGAUGUAAGGCAUGGGCAGAGCCGACAAGGAACCUGUGAAUGGGCAUUGCUGUCCAUUGCUCACAGAAUUCAAUCUACUUGGGGUAUAUUCAGUAAAUUAGUAAAUUGAAUAAAUAACUUGAUUAUUGCACAUCAUGAUGGCUGCUUUGAAAGGAAUGAACAGGAUACAAUGGUAGAGAACAAUGCUGGGGAGAAAACUACUUAGAGUGUUCAGGGACAGCCUCUUUGAGGAGGGGACAUGGAGGUUCAAACUUAAGAUAAAAAGGGGUCAGCCAUGCAAAGAUGGGAGGAGAACAUGGCAUGCAGAGGAAACAGCAUGUGCAAAGACUUUAGGCUUCGAGGUUUGCACUUCUUGAGGUGUGAAGGAGCUUGUUAUUUUCAAGGCACAGAAAGAAAACUAUUAUUUCUUCCACAGCUGGAGCUUUUGUGAGUAAGAGAGAGGGGCACAAACUGGGAGGAUGGGUAGGUGAGCGCCAGGUUAUGCAGUCUUUUAAGGUGAGGGAAAUAGCUUGGAUUUUCUUUAAAAUGAAAUGUGAAGCCAUUAAAAGGGCUUAGGCAGGGGAGAAAUAUGAACUAGUUUGUGUUUUAAAAAGAAUGCUGGGACUGCUGUGUGAAGAACAGAUGCAAGCGGGCAAGAGAGGAAGCAAGGAGAGCCAUAGAGAGGCUCCUGCGCUGUGAAAGGGCAGUGGUUUGUGUGGGGUGGUGACAGAAAUGUUCGGGUGGGGAGGGAGCAGAUUGUGCAAGCAGAAUCGCCAGGGCUGAGCAUGGGAGCUGUUCUCUGCUCAUCCUUCUGUCCACCUGUGUGGAGCCUGCGGCUCUGAGAAGACAGUGUGAAAAUCACUAAUCUACAUAGUGUAAAAACAAGUUUUGACUGACAUUUUCAGACAUGUGACAAUUAUUUGACUGAACCGACUAGAUUACCUAGUGGUCGAAUCUAUAAUUUUUCAAAAGCUAAGAUUCUAGUUUAUCAUAUUCAGAAGUUACAAGACAGUUUUUGAUGAUGGAAAUAUAUUUAUUGAGGUAUAUAAAACCUGUUUACCACACGUUUUAUGUCAAGUGUUCUUUGGAGGAAAUAAUUUCUAAAUCCUUGACUUUCAAUCUGAUGAUUGAAAUCUCAAGAUUGAGGGGAAAGCAUAAAGAAGGGAAAAGACCGCCAGAAGAAAGAGAGAGCAAAGAUUUAAUGGCACACACAAAAAAAUCAAACCAGGUCAUGUUGCCCCACUCGAUCUCAAUUUUUCAAAACUGGACCCCUUCUUUCAACGCACCAUGUUUGGAAGGCAAAGACAAUUGCUUGUGUGCUUUUCAGCCUUAGACAGGGUGUGUUUCUGUAUUUCAUUUUGCUGCAGUAGCACACACCCCGACAGAGCCCCGGCUUGAUGAUUGUAAUUCUCCUUCUGUGGGACUUCCAGCAGGGCUGUCCUGUCACUUGCUGCUCAGGCAGAAUGCGGCAGUACAUCUGUGGCUGAUUGGAGAAUGGGCAAUCAUAUUACCCCAUCCUGUAUAAUUUGAUAUGUGGGGGUCACUGAGGACUCUGGCAAUGUUUCUUUGUUUCUCUCUCUCUCUUUCUCUUUUUUUUAAAAGGAUGAAAAUUGCAUUUCCUCUGUAUCCACGCCUGUCUAUUUUCACAAUCAUUUAUCUUUUCUUAGGGAGAAUUGUGUGGCAUUUUACGUACUCUCAAGUCACACGUCAUUUUAGGCUAAAGGUAUUUAUACUGUUUGUAACAUGAAUGACAAGAAGAAAAUGAGACUAUGUGGUAAGAUUAUGAAGCAGUGUUUUAAUAGAUUUUAUUUCUACUUAAUCAAAGAGGCUUAUAUCCCGUGGAAGGAUAGAAUUAUUCUAUCCUAUUCUGUUCUAUCCUGUGCUGUUCUGUUCUGUUCCAUUCCAUUCUGUUUCAUUCGCUUCCGUUCCAUUCUUCUGCUCACCGGAUUCUUAAGUCUGGCAGCAGCCUGGAAGAGAAAGAGAGCUGCUGCUGCUGCAGCUUUGUUUGGUUGGCAAUGUAGUUUUUGACCCACAUGGUUAGUGAAUGUUGGGAAAGCUGUGGAUGCAGAGGUCAAGUCAGGAAUCAUGAUGCUGUACACUUUGCUGGAUCACCAGAGUACCAUAUCUGAAGAUUUAUCUUAUACAAAUACAGUGGAAACAAUGUGUAAGGGACUAAAGCAUAUUUGAGUGAGAUCUAAGAAAAUCCCAAGAAGAAGAUAUCUAACCAGAUGAAGGUGCACCUGCCGGAAGCAUCGUCCAGAACUGCUAGUCACUGAAACUGCAAAUUCACAGAACCCUUUGCUUUGAGCUAGAUUAUUGCUCUAAGUCCUGCAAGCUACAUAAAGACAAAUCAGCUUAGCAUACAUAAUCGUCAUCUGAGGUAGAUGCUAUUCUUCCCAUUAUGCUGUUGAAGAAAUGGAGACUUAAGAGAAGUGAUUUACUGUUGGAAAGACAAGGCAGAAGGUACGUCAGAGAGGUUUGAAGUAUGGGAAGGACUCAGCCCACAACUGAUGGCUCCGAAGAUGAAGGGGCCACAAGCCAGGGAAAAUGGGCAGCCUCUGGGAGUUGAGACCAAACCAUGGCCAACAGCUGAUAAGGUAACACAGACUUUAGUCCUACAGCCUCAUGGACCAGAAUUCUGUCGACAACCCGACUAACCUGGAAACUAUUCCCCCCAGCACCUCCAGAAAGGACACAGCCCUGCAGGCACUUUGAUUUCUGCCUGUGAGACAUUUAGCAGGGAACCAGCUGAGCCAUGCUGUGCCCAGAUUCCUGACUCAUGGAAAUCAUGAGAUAAUAAAUUUGUUGUUUUAAGCUGCUAAAUUUGUAGUAAUCUGUUGCAGUGGCAAUAGAAUGCAAAUACAGUCACAAAAGCUGUUUAGCAGCGACUCAGGUGAUCCCAAGUUCCAUACUGUUUCCGUGGCUGCCCAGGACAGCACCCUGGACUGUGCUCUCUAAGGGCAAGAGGGCCAUCUGCCCCAGAUGUACACAGGAUGAUCAAUUAGGUACGGGAAAAAAAAGUCUCAACUCUUAAACUUAUAGUUUUUUGUAGGUUUUAUAAUAUAAUUAAUGUAUUAGUAUAGGAGAAUAUUUAUAAUUUGCAUAUUCACAUAUUUAUAAUAUUCUUCACAAUUGCAUAUUGCCUGCUCAAUUGAGUCUUACUGAUAGGGUUGCAUGAUUAAAAAUGCAUGUUGAACAGUGACCUAGUGGAGCAAGAACAGAAUGUAGAGGCAUGCUCUAGUGGAAAGCUCACUGUAUUUGGAGUGGGAGCCAUUGAUUUUAUUUCUACCUAUGAUGGCAAUUAGCCCAGUGACUUUGGCCAAGCCACUCCAUGUCUCUGGCUUACAUGUCCUCAUGGUACCUUAAGUAGGCAUCCUGGAUGCUCCCUGAACUUUACUUGAGAAUAUAGAGAUGCCACGUUGACGUCCAAUCAGUAACUACCAUCUCUGAACCGUGCCUUUUUUCUGAUUGAGGGAAAAAAAGAAAAACAGACAAAAAACAGGUUUUGCUGAGUUGGCUGGUUGUUUGGACCAAAUGAUUGUGUGUUUGACUGAACUGAUUUAAUACAAUAAGCUACUUCUGGGCAGGUAUUUUUCUUAUUCAUUUUUCUUUUUAAUCUGCCAAACUUCUAUCCUGGUACUUUGCACCAGAUUAAUAGUAAGAUUUUGUGCAAUGAAUGGAUGGACUUAAACUGGUAAAAAAAAAAGUAUUAAGCUUAAGAAGAAGUAUUAACAACAUAAAUUAUAGUGAUCUCUCUUAUUCAUUACCAGGGCCCAGGUUGCCUGACUGCUUCUGUUAGACUACAGAAUCUCGGGGGACUAGCAGUAAAAUUGAUGUCUCUAGGGAUGUUCUAACAGAACUGUUGGAAUGAUAGAGCUACAUGGAUAUAGUACCUAUCAUGCAUCAGAUAUUACUCUAAGUACUUUCUAUGUAUUAACUCAUUUAAUGCUCAUAAUAACUGUUUGGUAGUAAUAUUACUUUCUUACUACAAGUGAGUAAAGCAAGACACAGAGAGGUUAAAUAACCUGCUCCAGGUCACACAGCUAGCAAUUGGUGGGGCAGAUCCAAACCCAGCAGUCUGGCUUCAGAGUCUGUGCCUCUCACCCCUGUCCUCUGCUGCUUCUCCAGGGUGGGAAGUAGUGCGGUAGGCUUUGGAGGGCUCUUUUCUUGAACCCUUCAAGCAUAAGCAUUUCUUAAACUUCUAACCCACUAGGAAUAAUGCGGACCAGCUUCCUGUCCACAGGGACUCAGAGCAUGAGCCCAGCACGGGAAAGCCCAGAUUGAGAUGUCCGGUGUUGCCAUGGGGAGGAGUAGGCGGGGAGACCGUGGCACAGAGAGCUCUCUGGUCUGAGCAAAAUUAAUUAAGCUUUCUGAGCCACAGUUUCCUUGUAUAUCAACAUGGAGCUGACAAUACCUACUGGAUGAAGCUGUUGUGAGAUUAAAUGAAAUAAUGGGUGUAAAGCAUAGCGUUUCAGGCAUGGAACACAGCAGGUGUUUAAUAAAUCUUUCUUGAACUGUGCUGCACCCAUGGUCUGAGUGACACUGGAGCCCAGAAGAUGUUAACACACAGGAGAGAAAUGUCCUACUGCCCACAGUAUAGCUUUGCCUACACAGAGCGCAAAUGCACCAUGUCCUAAACCUAUCCCAUGAUCUUCUUUCCUGCUGUCCUGAUCUUCCUGUCAUCCUGGGUUAUGAACCUCUCUUCAUGACUCGCCUGUUCCUCCAGUAUCGUAGGUUGGAAACCUCACAGGCAUAUCCAAACAAUUGCAGGGCUUUGUUGAGUCUGCCUCUAUAAUGUCAGUACGAUUCAUCUUCCUCUCUGUUGCCUUAUGAUUAAGGAUUUAGGUCAGGUCCUCAUUAGCAGGCUUGGAUUAUAGGCACAGCCUCUUAACCUAUCUCCCUAUCUUCAAACCUCCAUGUAGCUGCUAUUUAUCUGUCUAAAACACAAGCCAACAUAUUGCUUCCCUAUGAAAAGCUUUUUCUACCUUUGCACUUUAGUGAGGCCGUGUGUAAUCUGGCUCUUUUCAUUGUCACAUCCUGCCCAGGAGCAAGACAUGGACCUGGCUGCAGCAACCUUGUGCUGUCUCUGGGUCCAUCAGUGUGACGGUAGUGGCUAGAUGGUGUGCACAGCAGCUGGGUAAAGUAGCCGCCAGCACUGAGGGUGCUCAGAGUGACUAGUCAGAGACCAAAAACGACUAGCUGCAGUCCUUGCCAGGACCAUUAAUUUCUCCUUCCUUUCCACUUUUUAAACAUUUUAUUGUCACCAACUCUUCCACCAAAGUAUAUACAAGAAGAACAAAAACCAGCCCUUGAGAAUUUGCAGAAAUCCUAGGGAGGAUUCUUGAGAGAAUCUCCAUAUCAAGAAGCUGGGAGAUACCACGUAUAUGAGCUUUCGUUUCCAAAUACACGAUUUAUAAGCCCAGAGAUCUUUUAGAUCACUAGGCUGUAAUUUAAUGCACAUAAAAGGAAUGGUUUAAUAGCUAUCUUUGUCACCUCUAAAAUGUAGACACUAUAGUCUCUUCCGUUUUAUUUUCCACCAAAAGCAUAUAUUUAAAUGUUAAUUUAUUUUCUUUUCAUUUGUAGGACCCAACCACGUCACUCUCUGCUAAUUUCUUCUCAUUGCUGAGGCAAAAGACCAAAAUUUUACUUAUUUGUUAAAUUUAAAACACCUCUAUAAUACUAAUUGUGUAUUAGGCACUGUUCUAAGAACUUUACAAAUCUUAGCUCAUUAAACUCUAUAAGGUAGGUGUAGUCAUGCAUUGCUCAAUGAUGGGGAUACAUUCUGAGAAAAGCACUGUUAGGGGAUUUUGUCAUUGUUUGAACAUCAUAGAUUGUACUUAUACAAACCUAGAUGGUGUAGCCUACUACACACCUAGGCUAUAUGAUACUAAUCUUAUGGGACCACUGUAGUAUAUGUCAUCCAUCAUUGACUGAAAUGUUGUCAUAUGGCACGUGUCUGCACUAUUAUCAUCACCCUUAUUUUUCAGAUGAGGAAACUGAGGCACAGGAAGGUUAAGUAACUGUGUGCUGUAACACAGCUAGCAAGCCUUCAUCAUCUGGCUCCUGCCUAUGUCUCAGACCUCAUCUCGUUUCUCCCUAUUGCUCUCUCUUUUUGGUUAUCUUUGUGUCUCUGUACAAGUAUAUUGAGCCUGCAAUACAUUCUUCCCUGCUAUUCACUUGUUUGGUUCCCAGUGGUGGUAAUACUAUAUUAUGAAUGUAUUUGAAAACGGCAGAAUUCUAACAGCCACAAUUCCCUUGACAGUGGGAUUUGAUGAUUCUUAAUCAAAAGGCCUAAGGUGGUUUUUAUUUACCUCUCUGACAUCUGUGCUUCCCUGAGUCUUCCGCAUCUCUGUUGGGAGGACAACUGUUCACCCCUAUUUUAGGCUUCCCUAUUUGUAUAGGGAGGACCACCAUACAUACUUGUCUUCUCUUUUCCCUGUCUCUUUUGGCAGGACUACUAUACAGCCAUGCGUUAAGGCCUAACACCUUGGAGUUUUCCUUGACUCCUCUCUGGCUCCCAUACCCCACAUCCCAUCUCUCAGUGGAUCCUGUCAGUUCUACCUUCAUAACCCGUCCUGAACCUAACUACCUCUCUCCUCCACCUCUACUGGAUUAAUCCUAGCCACUAUCAGCUCUUGCCUGGACCACUGCAAGACCUCCUCUUGGUCUUGCUUCUUCUUUUGCCCCUUCCAGUAUACUCUCCACAGGCAGCCAGAGUGAUCAGGUCACUCCUCUGUGCUCACCUCCAAUGGCUUUUAGUAACAUCCAGAACACAAUCCAGUGUCUAACCAUGGCUUAUGAAGUCCUUCAUGAUCUUGCCCACAUCUAUCUCUUCAUCUUCAUUUCAAUCAUGUUUCCCUUGCUUGCUGCUUUCAGGUCCACUGGAACCCUUCCUUCUGCUCUAGGAGCACUCCAAGAGACCUCUCACCUCGGACACUAUGUUCACUUGCUAUUCCCUUCUGGAACCCUCUUUCCUCAGAUUUGUCCGUGGAUGCUCCUUCUAGUCUUCAUGUCUCUGCUCAAACUUUAUAUCCUCAGAGAGGCCUUUUCUGUCCCAUUGUUCUUUCUCCCCUAACCCUGUUUAUUUUCCUUCAUAGUACCUGACCUUUUUUUUUUUUUUACUACAUAUUUAUUUGCUGUUCUCUGUCUAGAUGUACAGGGUUUCAGCACCUGGAAAAAUACCUGGCACACAUUAAGAGUUUAUUAAAUAUUUGAAAUAAAUGGAUGGAUGAAUUAUUGAAGAAUUGAAAAUGAAUACGGGAGAAGAGACAAUUAGAUACUUUCAAAAAGAUUUCUGCAGAGAGAAGCAAGGGAGCUAGAAGGCAGUCUAUCUAGGGAUGAAUCACUCCCCUUGAGAACAAAAGGAAAUUUAACUACUCAGGGAACAAAGUGAGUCCAAGGUGAGGGAGCCCUCCCUGCCCCUCUUUGUUUUAUCUGCCUGUUGCCUGUCUGUGGGGCCCCCAUCCUGCUGGUGGGAGGCUUAGGGAUGAGUACCUGAUUUGCCACUACCAAGCAGAACUGCUGUGCUUUCCUCUCUUCCUCUGUGCUUGGGGUCUCACUGGGAGUGGGCCAACAGAAGUUUGGUGCACAGGAUGGUAUUCUCUCCCAGGAUGGUUUGGAACGCACUGAGAGCCUAAUUCAUCCACUUGGGAGUGAGGUUCUUAAGGAGAAACUCAGUGCUUUGGCUGAAUAGCAGAGCCUUUUUCAGAGAAACUCUCCAAGGAGUUUCUACACAGGCUUCCUAGGGUAAAGCAGUUAUUUGUAGCAGUUUUAGGACUCUUUAUAUUCCAGUUUCAUCUCUUCUCAUUGAUUUUGCCAUUUGUGGCUUAUAAUGGAAAUGAAAAUAGCUGGUGCAGAUGGAAGAGUUACAAGAUGCUUCUCUGUAUCUUGUAGCUGGGGCACUCUUGGGGAAUCAGCUGAAUGAGUAUUUGCUUCCUAAACUCUUCUCUGGGUUUCACCAAGUUGGGGUCACUUGCAAGGUGAUCAUCAAUUCUGUGGAUUGGUUCAUAUUGUGCGGUGUGAAAACAGAUGAAAGAAUCUGGACCAUCCCCCAACAUAAAAGCUUAGACGAGAACAAAAAUAUAUAAGUGCUGACAAUUUAUACUAAUUUUAAGAAUCCACUUUGCUAAAACAGGAUGAAAAAAUACAUUACAUUGGAAUAACUUCCCUAUACCCAGUUAUUAGGGGACAAUGAAAUGUUCAUUUUACUGUAGCUUGAUUAUGAUGCUGACGUCAUAAUCAAGUCAAGAUAUAUAUGGUAGCAUCUCAUGUAUAUAGAGGUCAGCUUGGAACACAGCUUUGAUCUGGAAAAGUAAGCAUAAAAGGUCUGUGAUGAUAUGAAGCAGGAGACUCAUGUCCCUGCAUGAGAGCCAGGCCCCUUAGUACUUCCUAUUCCUGAUUCCCAUUCCCAUUUAGUAUUCUAGUCCCAACAUUUUCAGUUAUCUUCUUUUCCAAGCCCAGAGCAGCUAAGAAGUAGAAAAUUGGAAGAGGGCAAAGAAGGAUGCAAGUCAAAGUCACACUGAUGGGAGACAGGAAUGACAGCUGACAGCAAGGGAGGUGACAGCAAAGCUUAAGCAGCAAUGCAGGACUGCCAUAGACUUUGUCUGCAAGUCUAGGACAGGCAGAGUGGAAGUCUGUAUAUGGAAGAGGUAUUUUU